UACGUAGGGUCCAAGCGUUAUCCGGAAUUACUGGGCGUAAAGAGUUGCGUAGGUGGCAUGAUAAGUCAGUAGUGAAAUGACGAGGCUCAACCUCGUGUCCAUUACUGAAACUAUCAAGCUAGAGAAUGAGAGAGGUCACUGGAAUUCCCUGUGUAGGAGUGAAAUCCGUAGAUAUAGGGAGGAACACCGAUGGCGUAGGCAGGUGACUGGCUCAUUUCUGACACUAAGGCACGAAAGCGUGGGUAGCAAACGGG
rnacentral:rRNA from 1 species